rnacentral:rRNA from 1 species
GUGGGGAAUAUUGGACAAUGGGCGCAAGCCUGAUCCAGCAAUGCCGCGUGGGUGAAGAAGGUCUUCGGAUCGUAAAGCCCUUUCGACAGGGACGAUGAUGACGGUACCUGUAGAAGAAGCCCCGGCUAACUUCGUUCCAGCAGCCGCGGUAAUACGAAGGGGGCUAGCGUUACUCGGAAUUACUGGGCGUAAAGGGCGCGUAGGCGGCUCUGUUAGUCAGGCGUGAAAUUCCUGGGCUUAACCUGGGGACUGCGCUUGAUACUGCAGGGCUUGAGGCCGAGAGAGGGUGGUGGAAUUCCCAGUGUAGAGGUGAAAUUCGUAGAUAUUGGGAAGAACACCGGUGGCGAAGGCGACCACCUGGCUCGGUUCUGACGCUGAGGCGCGACAGCGUGGGGAGCAAACAGGAUUAGAAACCCCAGUAGUCC